GAGCUUGGAGAGUGGAUGUAGGUGCAAGAUUGGCACCGAACCACUAUAAACGUUGAUUGUUUGUGGUGUGCUUACUUGCUCUCUUCUUAAAUUUUUUUACUUUUUUGCAUUCUUGCAUCUUAUUGCUAUACCUUGCUUAAAUCAUUCACUACAUAUAACUUGCUUAGUAUUACUUAAUUCUUGUGGUUCUAAAUUAAAUUUAAAAUUUUAAAAAUUCAAUUCACCCACCUCUUGGGUUGCAUAGCUGGCAACAGGAGUAAUUGCCUUAAUAGCUGGAUCACCGACCUGAUUCUUUCUUGGCCGUGUCUGCAUUACUGCCUUUGGGAAAGAUUUCUGGGGAUUUAAGCAUAUAUCAUUUUGCAACUCGCACCACCUUUAUUAGGGAUGGAGCUCAAGGAGUCACGGAAUGGCAUCUUCGAGAGAGAAGAGAUCCGGAGAUCGCUUCUAGCUCACCCGGGACCUGUCACAUAGCAAGUCAGGGUAAGCUUCGAAACACGCUUCGUAAGUUGUUGCACACGAUUCGAUCAGAUAAGAAUGUGAUGAAGGGAUGUAAAGUCCGUCGUUUCAGGACUGGCCAAGUAGCAUAAUUUGGCGAUUUGAUGUCUGGAUCUGCACCAUCGAUGGCCUAUAUAAAUGGGCCAUCUAUCCGGUAGAAUUUCUCGCUAAACUGUCAAUUGCUCUUUUGCUACUGUAGUCCUCAGAGAGAGGUUCUCUUUUAUUUGCCUGGUCAUCAUGAAGCCAUCACUAUUCGUCAUUAAGUUGGCCAUGAAGAAGAAGAUGAGCUUCUCCUAUGGAGACUCCUUAUCCAAUAGGGCGAGGACCACCCAGCUCGAAUUUUUUAUUUCUGACUCAUGGCAAUCCUUGGUGGGGACCGUUGGUCACGGCUAUAAGGCCAUAUGUUGCUGCGUUGGGGUCACUCCAGGCCCCUCCCUUAUCGGACUGGACCCUACCUCUCUAUGAAGGGUUGAUGAGGUUUAGAACGAACCCUUGUCUGCUCGGGGGUAGUCGGAGGUUCACUAAUACUAUAGUGGAGAUUCCCAUCGAGGCUAGGCUUCGAUACAUUGAGGAGUUUGUUCCCAGCUAUGCAACCUAAGGGCGGGGUGAGUUGGGUUCUUAAAAAAAAUUAAGUGAAGAAUGUAUCACAAACAUAAGAAAUAAGUAAUGAACAAUGUGAUAGGCAGUGACAAUAAUGUGAUAGGCAGUGACAAUAAUGAACAAUGUGCUAGAUAUUGAAAUAAGUAAGAAAUUAAUACAAGAGAGUAAAAAGAGAAAUCAAAAUACCACAAACAUAAGGGUUUAUAGUGGUUCAGUGCUAAUCUAGCACCUACAUCCACUCCCCAAGUUUCUACUUGAGAAUUCUAAUCAUCAAUCGUAUUCAACGAUUACAACAUCGAAUCCCAUCGAUCCUAAUUUUUCUCAAGCUAAGUACUUAUUUUUCGUUUACAAGCCAAGUUUAUACACUCCAAUUCUAAGUUCAGAUCAAUCUUUCCUUAAGUUUUGGAACACCUAAAAUUUGUACUCACAAAAAAAAAUAAGUUGAAGAAGUUAAACAAUAUCAAUCAAGCUAAGCUUCUUAAUGAGCAUAAUAAAAUAAUAAAUAUACUUUACAUAAAGUUGAAGAAGUCUUUAAGAAUACUUUCAAUUGGAAUAGAGAGUGGAAAGUACUUUGGAGAGGUGGUUGAGUUUGAAAUGAAUACUUCUUUAUCUUGGAGCUUUAAUCUCUUUUAAAUAGAUUUUUUCUUGAUUUUUCUUGAGUUUUUCCUCCUUUUGAUGCCUUUAUAGCUUUAAUUAAUGCUGAAGAACCUUUAAUAAGCAUUUAGAGCAAUUAGAGAGUGAUUAAUAGGUAUUUAAUGUGUCAAAAAUGAGCUCGAAAACUAGUCGUUACGGACGUUAAGACUUCAGGGGUCGACCUAUGGGUCAUCCCCUGGCACAGGGGCCGUUCCAUGAGUCACCUCUUAUGGUUAGGAUAGAAAUUGGACCUCUAUUUGGGACUGUGGCUCUAUAGGGGUCGACCCAUAAGUUGCCCCUAGCAUAGGAGUCGUCCCAUGGGUCAUCUCCUUUAGCAUGUCAAUCCCAAAUCAACGUACUAGCAUCCCUUUUUGAAGAGGGGAUGACCUAGAGAGUGCCCUCUCAAGUCCAAAAUGGAUUUUCUUUCAUUUUUGAUUUUUGAAACUUUCGAAAUCACCUCCAAAUAUUUUGAAGUCAUCUUGAAAGCUCUUGAGACUUUCGAAAAACAUUAUUUCCACUUAAUGAAUUUGCAACAUUGGCAUCCUCCAAGCAUCCAUAUAAAUUCAAAUUUUUUGAAAUAUGUAUUUAAGCUUUUCGAAAGACAAAUAAUCAUUAGUAUUCCUCUUAAAUAUUUUGUAAUUAUUAAAAUUAAUUUUUAGAACAACAAUCUCUCACUUUUUGAUAAUGACAAAAUAUUUGAGUAUAAGCAGAAUAAAGCAUAUAAAAUAUUGGGUAAAGUAAUGCCAUUAAACAUGUAUGACCAUAGGAUUAAGGCAUUUACAAAUGUAUUCAAUUGAUGUAUCUUUUCAAGGCAUGAGUAUCAAUAUAUAGUGUCAAGGCCAAGAGUUAGACAACAUGAUAUAUUAUUAGAGUAAAUGAUAGAGAAUAUAGACAUAGUAUAAACCCCACUUUCUACUAGGCAAUUUCUAUUUAGAAGAGUGGUCGGGGCUACGGUCCUAACAUGUAUUAGCUGAAAAUAAAAAAAAAAAUUGCCAACAAAGCAUACAUUUCUGCCAAACAAGCAUAUAUUUUUGCUCAUACCAUAAAUAAUAUAUUUUAUAUCUAUAUCUACUUUUUCUUUUUGGCAUCAUCAAUUUAGAUAAGAAAUACUCCAUAAUAUCUAUCUGAUACCACCCCCUUUUUGAUUAAAUAUAAGGCUUAAAUGAUAAGAUGAUCCAUAAUCAAGAAUAUAACACCAUGACACCAAGGGUCUUAUAGUAUUAAAUGCAACAUUACAUUACCAAAGUCACAUUUAAUACUCAUAAUGGAAUACACAUUAGACAAUGUUACAUUGUAAAUAGGGACACAUUUUAUUUACUACAUAAUGUUAGAGGAAAUACAUCAUUGAGUUCACAUAAACUAAAAGUACAUAAUUUUAGUCAAAUUUCACACACACACACACACACACACACAUAUAUAUAUAUAUAUAUAUAUAUAUAUAUAUAUAUAU
rnacentral:lncRNA from 1 species